CCCUUAGAUGUUCUGGGCCGCACGCGUGCUACACUGAGUAAAUCAAUGGGUAAGGGAACACGAAAGUGCAACCUAAUCUUGAAAUUUGCUCGUGAUGGGGAUCGACGGUUGCAAUUUUCCGUCGUGAACGAGGAAUACCUUGUAGGCGCGUGUCAUCAUCACGCGCCGAAUACGUCCCUGCCCUUUGUACACACCGCCCGUCGCUCCUACCGAUUGAGUGUGCUGGUGAAAUGUUCGGAUCGGCCGUUUGUCGCGGUUUCCGCGGCUCGUGGCUGAGAAGUUCAUUAAACCCUCCCACCUAGAGGAAGGAGAAGUCGUAACA
rnacentral:rRNA from 1 species